rnacentral:rRNA from 1 species
ACUCCUACGGGAGGCAGCAGUGGGGAAUAUUGGACAAUGGGCGAAAGCCUGAUCCAGCAAUGCCGCGUGUGUGAAGAAGGCCUGCGGGUUGUAAAGCACUUUCAGUUGGGAGGAUAAUGACGUUACCAACAGAAGAAGCACCGGCUAACUCUGUGCCAGCAGCCGCGGUAAU